rnacentral:rRNA from 1 species
UACGUAGGGUGCAAGCGUUGUCCGGAAUUAUUGGGCGUAAAGAGCUCGUAGGCGGUCUGUCACGUCGGCUGUGAAAUCCCGAGGCUCAACCUCGGGUCUGCAGUCGAUACGGGCAAACUAGAGUAUUGCAGGGGAGACUGGAAUUCCUGGUGUAGCGGUGAAAUGCGCAGAUAUCAGGAGGAACACCGGUGGCGAAGGCGGGUCUCUGGGCCGUAACUGACGCUGAGGAGCGAAAGCGUGGGGAGCGAACAGG